AUGGCCAAGGCUUGCGUACUCCGCGGUGCCACGCUGAUGGUGUGUGCGCUCUUGCUCCUCUCGUCCUCUUUCAUUGCGGCAGAGCCGGCUGGUCGACAAUGGGAUCAUGGGGGUGGCCGGCAAUGGGGAACAGUGGCGCCGACGAUGUUGACGAGAGGGCGUUUUGUAAGAAAGGUGCUGCGGGAGGAGAUGGUCCAGGCGGACGACGACGGUGUCGUCGACAUUGGCGGCUCUAAGAGGAAGAGUCCCGGUGGCCCAGACCCACAGCAUCAUUAA
rnacentral:rRNA from 1 species